GAGGAUUUAGCUCAGUGGUAGAGCGCUUGCCUAGGAAGCGCAAGGCCCUGGGUUCGAUCCCCAGCUCC
rfam:Rattus norvegicus chromosome 9, whole genome shotgun sequence.